AACGGCUGGAGGAGAGACAACGGACUUAGUCCACAGCUGGGUCUGCUCUGUCAGGAGGCUGACAUGAUGAUUACCACACGGAGGCAACGGCAGGACUCCAACAAAUCCUAAUGGAGUUAGUAGUACCUCUUUCUGCUCUGGGCUCAUCAUCCUCCACUGCUGGGCGAUCUUCCUGACUACAUCCACCAGCUUGAUUUCUGAAGAGGAACCAAUGAAAGACAGACUGAUUAGAAUCACAUGAUCGGUCUCAUGCUCUUUUCUUCCUCUCAGGGUCUGCACAUUGAUACAGACCCUGUAUCAAUGUGGGGUCUGUAUGGCAAACACAAGGUGCUUGUGUUUGCCAUAUUAUUGCUAAAUUUUACAAGAGCUAAAUAAAUGAUGAUUUGGGAACAUU